CCUGCGGAAGGAUCAUUACCGAGUGCGGGUCCUUUGGGCCCAACCUCCCAUCCGUGUCUAUUGUACCCUGUUGCUUCGGCGGGCCCGCCGCUUGUCGGCCGCCGGGGGGGCGCCUCUGCCCCCCGGGCCCGUGCCCGCCGGAGACCCCAACACGAACACUGUCUGAAAGCGUGCAGUCUGAGUUGAUUGAAUGCAAUCAGUUAAAACUUUCAACAAUGGAUCUCUUGGUUCCGGCAUCGAUGAAGAACGCAGCGAAAUGCGAUAACUAAUGUGAAUUGCAGAAUUCAGUGAAUCAUCGAGUCUUUGAACGCACAUUGCGCCCCCUGGUAUUCCGGGGGGCAUGCCUGUCCGAGCGUCAUUGCUGCCCUCAAGCCCGGCUUGUGUGUUGGGUCGCCGUCCCCCUCUCCGGGGGGACGGGCCCGAAAGGCAGCGGCGGCACCGCGUCCGAUCCUCGAGCGUAUGGGGCUUUGUCACAUGCUCUGUAGGAUUGGCCGGCGCCUGCCGACGUUUUCCAACCAUUCUUUCCAGGUUGACCUCGGAUCAGGUAGGUGAUACCCGCUGAACUUAAGCAUAUCAAUAAGGCGGAGGAA
rnacentral:rRNA from 1 species